GCCAGACUCCAGGGCUGCGUAGAUCCUGGAAGUGGAAUGGAUUCAUUCUGCCGUUUACUGAAUGACUACUGUGUGCCACACACUCUUCUAGGCACUGGGAAGAGAGCAAUAAACAACACGAAUGUUGCCCUCAUGGAGCUGAUAUUUUAAUAGCCUUGGAAGAUGGGCUAUGAAAGGCUCACGAUAAAAUGGUGCCCAAAGCCAACAUGUGACUUUUAGUCCUGUUUGUGGUAUAGACUCACCGAGCAAUGUGAAGAAACUGAGUUUCUUGCUUCAUCACAGCUGAGGGUGAGAUAGGUGUGCUGCCCUUUCUCAAGAAUGUGGGGUGGAAUCGUAUUCAUUGUUUGAAAACUCAGAAUAAUAAGAGAUUUGGCAUUUAUGUGUUCGUGCAUACUUCUCUCCUCAAGCUGCAAAGUUCAACCAAGAGGUAUUUGGCAGAAGGCCUUUUGCUAAAGCAAUCACCUGACAAUGUGAGUGGGGAUCUGAGCCAGCCAGGUUCUACCUCCACUGGAGAGGUUUGAUUAGGUGAUGAGCACACAUUAUUCAUAAAAUUGCAGAGCGGCUGUAAUUUACCACAUCAUGGCUGGAAAUGAUCUGCCUCCGAGGAGCAAUGUCAAUGAAGGGUCAUCUUCCCUAGUGUCAGUAGUUCUUAAACUUUAGUUUCCAAGGAAGCACUGCAUGUGUCUGUAACAGAAAGAUACCCGUUUCUCCCCUAACAACUCAAAAUGAGAAGGUCUGGGAAAGGGUCCAAGAAUUCAUAUUUUACCACUAUCCCUGCUCAUUGGGCUGCAGGUGGUUCUACACUCAGAGAACCCCCACGCUGUGUUCACCAUAAGACAGAGGAUUCAGACCUCUAAUUCCCCUCACCCGGACACAAGAGCAUCUUGGCUCAAACCUCUUCUUUGGAAGGGAAGGAGAAAGGGAAGCUGGUUGGAACAGUUUCCUUUACUGAUUAUAGCUUAUUCCUUUCUCUCGUGAAUUCAGCAAAUAGAGUUUGGCAACUACAAUGCACAAGGUGCAGCCUACCCACUAGAGCGAGGAUUUUCCAAUAAUGAACUGAUGCUUCCCAGCCCCUGCCCCCUGGAGCGGAAGAAGUUUGUUAUGGAUGAGGGAAUGGAAUUAACGGAGCCUGAGCUGGCCGGCACUGCACUAUGCGAAGUGCCCUCUCAAACACCCUUUCAUUUAAUCUUCCCAAGUUCUGCUCCUCAUUUCCUUCAAGUCUUUACUGAACUAUCCCCUUUGCAGUGAAACUUUGCAGGAUCACCCUAAAGCAAACUCAACGCAUCAAAAGCUGGACUCCUGAUAGUUCCCCCCAACCUUUUCCUCCCAGAGUCUUCCCUGCCUCAGUAAAGAGCUAUUUCAUUCUCCCAGUUGCUCAAGCCAAAAAUGGAAUCAAUUUAGUUCUUCUGCAUCCCGUAUCUGAUCACAAGUCCUGUUAGCCCUGCUUUUAAGAUACAUCCAGAACCCUGCCAUCUGCCCGUCUUCUGUUGCCAUCACGCUUGUCCACACCCUCCUUACCCCUUGUCUGGGUGAUUGCGGUGGUCUCCCAGCUGCCCUGCCAGCGUCUGCCCUGGUCCCUCUUCUUGACUAUUCUUGACCCAGCGCCACCAUGUUAAAAUACAAAUCUGAUCGGGUAACUCCUCUGCUCCAAACUAGGUUUCCUUGUCACUCCGAGUAAAAGCCAAAGUCCUUACAAUAACCCACAGGGCCCUGACCUGCCUUGCUCUCCCCUGUUUGCCUCUUUCUGCUCUCCCCUCACUUGCUCCUCCUGCCCACACCAUGCAGUCCCAAUGUGGCAUCUUUGCACUUGCUGUUCCUGGAAUUCUCUUCCUCCAUUUGUUCACACGGCUGGCCUAGAUCCCGCCACACCUUUUCAUAACUACUGCUUUCUCAGUCGGGUUAGCUGGCCUCCCUGUUGAAUGUUGGAACUCAUCUACUAUUUUUCCUAUCCAUCUUUCUAUUUUGCACUAACAUCUCCAUAUGUUUUUUUCUUUUCUUUUUUUUUUUUUUGAGACGGAGUUUCACCCUUGUCACCCAGGAUGGAGUGCAAUGGUGCCUUCUUGGCUCACUGCAACCUCCGCCUCCCAGGUUCAAACAAUUCUCCUGCCUCGGCCUCCUGAGUAGCUGGAACUACAGGUGCGUGCCACCACGUCCAGCUAAUUUUUGUAUUUUUAGUAGAGACAGGGUUCACCACGUUGACCAGGCUGAUCUUGAACUCCUGACCUCGUGAUCCACCCACCUCAGCCUCCCAAAGUGCUGGGAUUACAGAUGUGAGCCACCACACCUGGCUUUUUUUUUUUUUUUUGAGAUGGAGUCUCGCUCUGUUGCCCAGGCUGGAGUGCAAUGGCACAAUCUCAGCCCACUGCAAUCUCCACCUGCUGGGUUCAAGUGAUUCUCCUGCCUCAGCCUCCCGAGUAGCUGGGAUUAUACGCAUGUGCCACCACACCUGACUAAUUUUUGUAUUUUUAGUAGAGAUGGGGUUUCACCAUGUUGGCCAGGCUGGUCUCAAACUCCUGACCUCAGGUGAUCCGCCUGCCUCGGCCUCCCAAAGUGCUGGGAUUACAGGCGUAAGCCACUGCGCCCGGCUACAUCUCCAUAUUUUUCUAUUUUUAUUUUGCUUAUCUCUCUUUCUGAUCAGAAUGUAAGCUCCAUAAAGGCAAAGGUUAUUGUCCAUUGUUCCCUGCUAUACACCCAGGGCCUAGAACAGGGUGUGGCAUGUAGCAGACCUUCAAUACUAUUUGUUUGAAUAAAUGAGUUAAAUAAUAAACAAAUGAAUAAAGUUGCAAUUCCC
rnacentral:lncRNA from 10 species